UGCCUACAUUUAUGGCUCUUUUUCGUCAGUACUCUCAUCAAGGGCUCUUAUCAAGCACUUUACAAAAUAUACUUCUCUUCCUGAUUUACUACCGUUUAUGGAAUUGUGCUUCAAUAUUGAGUGCAUCA
ensembl:ncRNA C33D12.15 ncRNA